rnacentral:rRNA from 1 species
UACGAGGGGGGCAAGCGUUGUUCGGAAUUAUUGGGCGUAAAGGGCGCGUAGGCGGUGCGGUAAGUCACCUGUGAAAACUCUGGGCUCAACUCAGAGCCUGCAGGCGAAACUGCCGUGCUUGAGUGUGGGAGAGGUGCGUGGAAUUCCCGGUGUAGCGGUGGAAUGCGUAGAGAUCCGGAAGAACACCAGUGGCGAAGGCGGCCCGCUGGGCAGUGGCUGACGCUGAAGCGCGACAGCGUGGGGAGCAAACAGG